UAAAUAGGCCGCGAAACCGUUAGGAGGGAAACGCAUGCAGCCGAACGGGCCCUCGCCGGGUUCACGGGUGUGCGGCGGCGAGCCGCUUUGGUGGGCACCCCAGGGGUCCCCGAAGCCGGCCUCGUCCCCGCUGCCCUGCACUCCCGGCGUUCCGGGUCGACCAAGGGCGACGGUUUUGCGGGCGAAGCGGACGAUCGGGAGGUACCGCAGCCGGCCGGUGUCGGAGGCGAACUUACCAGCCGGUCGUUUCCGGGAGCUCGCGGACCGUCGAGGAGAGGGCGGCCGUGUCGCCCCCUCAGCGCAGGCCCCUCGCGGGCCGGAGCCCUUCUGACCGUUCAGCCGUCUCUCCGCGAGACUGUUCGCAGUGUCCGGCGGUGGCGUGCUCGCUCGGUCGGGAGGUGGUCUCACGUCUUGCGCUGCAGCCUCUUGGCCAGACGUCGGCUCCAUUCGA
rnacentral:sRNA from 1 species